rnacentral:rRNA from 1 species
CCUACGGGGGGCAGCAGUGGGGAAUAUUGCACAAUGGGCGCAAGCCUGAUGCAGCCAUGCCGCGUGUGUGAAGAAGGCCUUCGGGUUGUAAAGCACUUUCAGCGGGGAGGAAGGCGGUGAGGUUAAUAACCUCAUCGAUUGACGUUACCCGCAGAAGAAGCACCGGCUAACUCCGUGCCAGCAGCCGCGGUAAUACGGAGGGUGCAAGCGUUAAUCGGAAUUACUGGGCGUAAAGCGCACGCAGGCGGUCUGUCAAGUCGGAUGUGAAAUCCCCGGGCUCAACCUGGGAACUGCAUUCGAAACUGGCAGGCUAGAGUCUUGUUGAGGGGGGUAGAAUUCCAGGUGUAGCGGUGAAAUGCGUAGAGGUCUGGAGGAAUACCGGUGGCGAAGGCGGCCCCCUGGACAAAGACUGACGCUCAGGUGCGAAAGCGUGGGGAGCAAACAGGAUUAGAUACCCUAGUAGUC